rnacentral:rRNA from 1 species
AUUAAUACCGCAUACGCCCUACGGGGGAAAGAUUUAUCGGGGAAGGAUUGGCCCGCGUUGGAUUAGCUAGUUGGUGGGGUAAAGGCCUACCAAGGCGACGAUCCAUAGCUGGUCUGAGAGGAUGAUCAGCCACAUUGGGACUGAGACACGGCCCAAACUCAUACGGGAGGCAGCAGUGGGGAAUAUUGGACAAUGGGCGCAAGCCUGAUCCAGCCAUGCCGCGUGAGUGAUGAAGGCCUUAGGGUUGUAAAGCUCUUUCACCGAUGAAGAUAAUGACGGUAGUCGGAGAAGAAGCCCCGGCUAACUUCGUGCCAGCAGCCGCGGUAAUACGAAGGGGGCUAGCGUUGUUCGGAAUUACUGGGCGUAAAGCGCACGUAGGCGGAUAUUUAAGUCAGGGGUGAAAUCCCGCAGCUCAACUGCGGAACUGCCUUUGAUACUGGGUAUCUUGAGUAUGGAAGAGGUAAGUGGAAUUCCGAGUGUAGAGGUGAAAUUCGUAGAUAUUCGGAGGAACACCAGUGGCGAAGGCGGCUUACUGGUCCAUUACUGACGCUGAGGUGCGAAAGCGUGGGGAGCAAACAGGAUUAGAUACCCUGCUAGUCCACGCCGUAAACGAUGAAUGUUAGCCGUCGGGCAGUAUACUGUUCGGUGCGCAGCUAACGCAUUAAACAUUCCGCCUGGGGAGUACGGUCGCAAGAUUAAAACUCAAAGGAAUUGACGGGGGCCCGCACAAGCGGUG